rnacentral:snRNA from 1 species
AUCUUUGCGCUUGGGGCAAUGACGCAGCUAGUGAGGUUCUAACCGAGGCGCGUCUAUUGCUGGUUGAAAACUAUUUCCAAACCCCCUCUUCGGCCAGGGCUUGACCUUGGCCGUCGAGAAUUUCUGGAAGGGCUCCCUUCGGGGUAAAGCU